rnacentral:tRNA from 1 species
GCUCGAGUGGCGGAACUGGCAGACGCCCGGGACUUAAAAUCCCGUGAGGCUCAAACCUCGUACCGGUUCGAUUCCGGUCUCGAGCACCA